CCUACGGGAGGCAGCAGUGAGGAAUAUUGGUCAAUGGGCGAGAGCCUGAACCAGCCAAGUCGCGUGAGGGAGUACUGCCCUAUGGGUUGUAAACCUCUUUUGUCGGGGAGCAAAAGCCGGACGUGUCCGGCUGUGAGAGUAACCGAAGAAAAAGCAUCGGCUAACUCCGUGCCAGCAGCCGCGGUAAUACGGAGGAUGCGAGGGUUAUCCGGAUUUAUUGGGGUUAAAGGGUGCGCAGGCGGAUUUUUAAGUCAGCGGUCAAAUCGUGGGGCUCAACCCCAUCCAGCCGUUGAAACUGGGGAUCUAGAGUGUGCGAGAGGUAUGCGGAAUGCGUGGUGUAGCGGUGAAAUGCAUAGAUAUCACGCAGAACCCCGAUUGCGAAGGCAGCAUACCGGUGCACAACUGACGCUCAGGCACGAAAGCGUGGGUAUCGAACAGGAUUAGAUACCCGAGUAGUC
rnacentral:rRNA from 1 species